UUACCGCCGACAGUAGCCAUUUCUUUGCAAUUAAGAGCUUGGUACCACAUCCUCGUUAUUUCAAUAUUUCAAUAAUAAUAAUAACGUUACAAUCAUUUUAUCAUUAUGAUAACUCUGGUUGGUUAAACUAGUCUAUCGUGUGACGUGAUCAGUUAUCUGUAAGUGAUUGCUUUGGGCUUCGCCCACAUCCGGGACUUACGGUGGUUUCCUCAUUGUAAAAAACCCCCCAACAACUUCAAGGAUAAUUUCUUUGAGUUCUUCCCAAACUCCAGAUGCACCUGCAUAUACAGGUAUGCACCUGUUGUCGGCCAUUAGCGGGUAGAACCAGCGUGGUGGAGUCAACUCGCCCUGGACAGUGAGGCUUACUGGAGGAUGUGCGGGCCCGCCUCCACCCAUCAAGACAAUGAAACUGUAUGAUUGCCAAAAGGGCUCACACCAUUGAUGCUGUUGUUCUAUGGAACAAACGCGCCAAGAUGCUGCAACCAAUCACUGCCUGUUUGGAGGACCCAUGUUGCACAAGGCGAGAGGAACAAAGACCUUCCAGAGACCUUCUCAUCCAGAGCCAAGCGGCACCAGCGACACAAAAACGAGCGGCAAGGCAUUGUGCUCUGUAAUUUGGGUGCAGUGACCACGACGUCGGACCUGUAGAAGCAUGCCGCUCCACAUCUCUGCCUGGGCCAAAGCUUUUUGCACCUUCACCAUCCUCCCCCGGUGGAACGUCUCCCUGAGGGAUCCAAUGAGGAACCGGGAGACGAGUCCGACGGACCAGGAUUCUGGCAGGAAAUGGAGAAUCUCCGCCGCCAAGGCCUGAGGGUUGUUGUUGAGGAGAUCCACAGCGGCGUUGGUGAGUUCCUCAGAGCUCAGGUAGAUUUGAAGCAGGUUGAUAAGCAAGGCCUUCCUGGACUGAGAGUCCUGGACCUGUGCGGCCUGGUGGCAGUAGGCCUCGGCUAGCUGGGGGUCUCCCGUGUGGUGGACAAGAAGCUGCAAGGCCUGGAGGUGUUCACCGGUUCUCCCCAGGAGAAUGGCUUUCUCCAAAUGCAAUGUUGUGGUUUUGACUCUUUCUGGAAGGAGGACAGUUUUUGUUUUUUUUAAAUACAGUAACAAGAAAUACGAUACAUUGGAACCUAACAUCGACUGCCGCGAUCCAUAAUUUGAAGAUGCAUCUAUAGGACAUUGAGCAAGCUGUCCCUUUUGCUUUUUCUUUGGCUUUUUGUGUUUUUUGGCACAUUAUACUGCAAGUUACGAGAGAUAAGCAGACCCCCAUUCACAGUAGUACGACUCCAUAUGCUUGUUAGGGGGGAUGUGUAAAGAGUUUAAUGACUUCUAACAGUGUUGAAAAAUAGCCUCUUUUUAGCCCUAGCCCUUGAUCUGGCAUUUAUCUGCCUGUGCCUUUUAUACAGAACCCAGUGAAAUGGAAAACUGCCGCAAUGUCUGUGCGGCUUUAGCGUUCAACACAGCAGUGCGGGAGAUGUGGGGGUCCCAGGAAUGCAGAAAACCUGUUACUCUCACCUCUGUUACGGGUCUGAUACAUUCUCCAAAGGUGGAAAAUUGCCGGGAAGAAAGAAAGAGGAGAAAAGCCGAGAAAAUGCUGGGUUAUACAGUACAGGCAGUGUGAAAGGGGCUCGAGGUUUACUUAUAUUUAUAAAAUUAUUUAUGAAAAACAACGCAUGUGUAACGGUUGCAGGCUGCCGCAGCUGUACUUUGGCAAACCUCACUCCCUGAUGCCUUAGGUGUCGCGCCAGACUUUGAGUUGACAGCUCAGGCUUUUAACUCAAUGGCUAGCGCUUUCGACUCUUAUUCUGCGGACCCUGGUUUGAGCACCGGGAUGAAUGUGAUGUGAUGUGCUGUGAUCUGUAUGAGAGUGAGGUUUAGGGGGUGAGUGUAGCGGAUGGCACCUGGUGCAGACGUGCAAGAGUACAGUGCGUUGGUAAACCUCACUCCCUGACGCCUUAAGAGUGGCGCUGGACAUAAAAAUUUACAGCUCAUUGCGGAACGUGUGGCUGGCCGGACCAGUCGUGUUAGGCAUGUACAGUUAAUAAAGGUUUUUAUGACGGUGACAAUUUGAAAACAAAUGGAAAAAUCAAGAUUGUGCUCAAUCCCAGAGGUUGCACUGAAUUAGGGUCCCUAAUGAGGCGUCCACACACCGUAUACAGCCGUGACAUCUACAAAGUCAGAAUCCCACAGCAGCCUCUGCAACUUUCCCCUGGUGUCCUCUCGGAAUGACUUCAUUUCCUCUCCCUGCUGCAGUAUGAGCGUCACGUAGGCCAUAGCCAGGGAAGUGUGAUGGCGCCGCUCCUAGGGGGACCAUUAUGGUAAUCAAGCAUUUAAUAACGUAGGCGUGUGUUUAGAUUAGACUCACCCACCUUCAAGUGCUCAAUUAGGAACUCCAGAUACAAGACCAGUGCCAGAGGGUACGUCCUCAGGAGAGUGAGGACAUGCUGUGUCUCUAAACAGUCCUCCUGAGGGCAUUGGGUGAAUACCUGAACACCUAUCUUUGUUUCCACACAUACAGGGAAGAGAUGACAUGUCAUAUAAGGGAGUCCAACUCUGCCCUCUACAGUUAAAUAUGAAACACCGGUAAGCACCUCCUGGUUUCUUUGCAAGGCCCAGUCUGCAAACGUCCAUACGGUAUCUUUGUCCUUCAUCUGGCUGAGGCUACGCACGAUCUGUCCAUAGACGUCUGGAGCCGAGUGCGAUGGGUCUUUGAGGACCCCGUCUGCUAUCUGUACCCAUGUCUGUGAGGGUGGGAUGGGGGUAAAACAAGGUAAAUGGAGUGCAUGUCUACUUACAGUGGACAGUGCACAAACCCCUGUUAAAAUAUGCGUAUAAAAUAUGUAAAAAAAAAAAAAAAAAAAAAAAGGGUCAAAUAAAGUGACAAAUAAAGAAAAUUAAAAA